GAUGAACGCUGGCGGCGUGCUUAACACAUGCAAGUCGAACGAAGCACUUUAUUUGAUUUCCUUCGGGACUGAUUAUUUUGUGACUGAGUGGCGGACGGGUGAGUAACGCGUGGGUAACCUGCCUUGUACAGGGGGAUAACAGUUGGAAACGGCUGCUAAUACCGCAUAAGCGCACAGCAUCGCAUGAUGCAGUGUGAAAAACUCCGGUGGUAUAAGAUGGACCCGCGUUGGAUUAGCUAGUUGGUGAGGUAAUGGCCCACCAAGGCGACGAUCCAUAGCCGAGCUGAGAGGGUGACCGGCCACAUUGGGACUGAGACACGGCCCAAACUCCUACGGGAAGCAGCAGUGGGGAAUAUUGCACAAUGGGCGAAAGCCUGAUGCAGCGACGCCGCGUGAGCGAAGAAGUAUUUCGGUAUGUAAAGCUCUAUCAGCAGGGAAGAUAAUGACGGUACCUGACUAAGAAGCACCGGCUAAAUACGUG
rnacentral:rRNA from 1 species